rnacentral:rRNA from 1 species
GACGAACGCUGGCGGCGUGCUUAACACAUGCAAGUCGAACGGUAAGGCCCUUCGGGGUACACGAGUGGCGAACGGGUGAGUAACACGUGGGUGAUCUGCCCUGCACUUCGGGAUAAGCCUGGGAAACUGGGUCUAAUACCGGAUAGGACUCCGGACUGCAUGGUCGGGGGUGGAAAGCUUUUGCGGUGUGGGAUGGGCCCGCGGCCGAUCAGCUUGUUGGUGGGGGGAUGGACUACCAAGGCGACGACGGGUAGCCGGCCUGAGAGGGUGACCGGCCACACUGGGACUGAGAUACGGCCCAGACUCCUACGGGAGGCAGCAGUGGGGAAUAUUGCACAAUGGGCGCAAGCCUGAUGCAGCGACGCCGCGUGAGGGAUGACGGCCUUCGGGUUGUAAACCUCUUUCAGCAUCGACGAAGCGAAAGUGACGGUAGGUGCAGAAGAAGGACCGGCCAACUACGUGCCAGCCGCCGCCGUAA